GUCUUGGUAGCCUAAAAUAAGGUAUCGGUCUUGUAAACCGAAGAUUGGAAGUGUGAACCUUCCCCAAAACU
rnacentral:tRNA from 1 species